rnacentral:rRNA from 1 species
GCUAUACAUGCAAGUCGUACGCACUGGCCCAACUGAUUGAUGGUGCUUGCACCUGAUUGACGAUGGAUUACCAGUGAGUGGCGGACGGGUGAGUAACACGUAGGUAACCUGCCCCGGAGCGGGGGAUAACAUUUGGAAACAGAUGCUAAUACCGCAUAACAACAAAAGCCACAUGGCUUUUGUUUGAAAGAUGGCUUUGGCUAUCACUCUGGGAUGGACCUGCGGUGCAUUAGCUAGUUGGUAAGGUAACGGCUUACCAAGGCGAUGAUGCAUAGCCGAGUUGAGAGACUGAUCGGCCACAAUGGAACUGAGACACGGUCCAUACUCCUACGGGAGGCAGCAGUAGGGAAUCUUCCACAAUGGGCGCAAGCCUGAUGGAGCAACACCGCGUGAGUGAAGAAGGGUUUCGGCUGUAAAGCUCUGUUGUUGGAGAAGAACGUGCGUGAGAGUAACUGUUCACGCAGUGACGGUAUCCAACCAGAAAGUCACGGCUAACUACGUGCCAGCAGCCGCGGUAAUACGUAGGUGGCAAGCGUUAUCCGGAUUUAUUGGGCGUAAAGCGAGCGCAGGCGGUUGCUUAGGUCUGAUGUGAAAGCCUUCGGCUUAACCGAAGAAGUGCAUCGGAACCGGGCGACUUGAGUGCAGAAGAGGACAGUGGAACUCCAUGUGUAGCGGUGGAAUGCGUAGAUAUAUGGAAGAACACCAGUGGCGAAGGCGGCUGUCUGGUCUGCAACUGACGCUGAGGCUCGAAAGCAUGGGUAGCGAACAGGAUUAGAUACCCUGGUAGUCCAUGCCGUAAACGAUGAGUGCUAGGUGGUUGGAGGGUUUCCGCCCUUCAGUGCCGGAGCUAACGCAUUAAGCACUCCGCCUGGGGAGUACGACCGCAAGGUUGAAACUCAAAGGAAUUGACGGGGGCCCGCACAAGCGGUGGAGCAUGUGGUUUAAUUCGAAGCUACGCGAAGAACCUUACCAGGUCUUGACAUCUUGCGCUAACCUUAGAGAUAAGGCGUUCCUUCGGGGACGCAAUGACAGGUGGUGCAUGGUCGUCGUCAGCUCGUGUCGUGAGAUGUUGGGUUAAGUCCCGCAACGAGCGCAACCCUUGUUACUAGUUGCCAGCAUUAAGUUGGGCACUCUAGUGAGACUGCCGGUGACAAACCGGAGGAAGGUGGGGACGACGUCAGAUCAUCAUGCCCCUUAUGACCUGGGCUACACACGUGCUACAAUGGACGGUACAACGAGUCGCAAGCUCGCGAGAGUAAGCUAAUCUCUUAAAGCCGUUCUCAGUUCGGACUGUAGGCUGCAACUCGCCUACACGAAGUCGGAAUCGCUAGUAAUCGCGGAUCAGCAUGCCGCGGUGAAUACGUUCCCGGGCCUUGUACACACCGCCCGUCACACCAUGGGAGUUUGUAACGCCCAAAGUCGGUGGCCUAACCUUUAUGGAGGGAGCCGCCUAAG